GAUGAACGCUGGCGGCGUGCCUAAUACAUGCAAGUCGAGCGAACAGACGAGGCGCUUGCUCCUCUGACGUUAGCGGCGGACGGGUGAGUAACACGUGGAUAACCUACCUAUAAGACUGGGAUAACUUCGGGACACCGGAGCUAAUACCGGAUAAUAUCUUGAACCGCAUGGUUCAAUAGUGAAAGACGGUUUUGCUGUCACUUAUAGAUGGAUCCGCGCGGCAUUAGCUAGUUGGUAAGGUAACGGCUUACCAAGGCAACGAUGCGUAGCCGACCUGAGAGGGUGAUCGGCCACACUGGAACUGAGACACGGUCCAGACUCCUACGGGAGGCAGCAGUAGGGAAUCUUCCGCAAUGGGCGAAAGCAUGACGGAGCAACGCCGCGUGAGUGAUGAAGGUCUUCGGAUCGUAAAACUCUGUUAUGAGGGAAGAACAAAUGUGUAAGUAACUAUGCACGGCUUGACGGUACCUAAUCAGAAAGCAACGGCUAACUACGUG
rnacentral:rRNA from 1 species